rnacentral:tRNA from 1 species
GCGGCACUAGCUCAGUUGGUAGAGCGCAACCUUGCCAAGGUUGAGGUCAUGAGUUCGAGCCUCAUGUGCCGCUCCA